AUGAAACCUGACCCUGCUUUUGCUACUUCACCUAUCUAUGUUACUGAUAAGGAUUAUGAAUUCUCUGUUGAUCCUGAGAUUAUUACUUUAGUUGAAUCUGAUCCUUUUUAUGGCCUUGAAUCUGAAACUGUUGUGGCACAUCGUACCAAGUUGAAUGAUAUAGCUACCCUGUUUACUCAUGAUGAUAAAUCUAGCUAUUAUUAUAUCCUUAAGAUAUUUCCGUUCUCGUUAAAGGGUGAUGCUAAGACUUGGUAUAAUUCUCUUGCUCCUGGUUGUGUGCGUAGUCCCCAGGAUAUGAUUUAUUACUUCUCUGCUAAAUAUUUUCCUGCUCAUAAGAAACAAGCUGCCUUGCAGGAAAUAUAUAAUUUUGUGCAAAUCAAAGAAGAGAGUCUCCCACAAGCUUGGGGGAGGCUUCUCCGAUUACUUAAUGCUUUGCCUGAUCAUCCUCUUAAGAAAAAUGAAAUACUUGAUAUCUUUUAUAAUGGACUAACCGAUGCUUCCAAGGAUUACUUGGAUAGUUGUGCUGGUUGUGUUUUCAGGGAAAGAAUAGUCGACGAAGCUGAAUUACUAUUGAAUAAUAUGUUGACUAAUGAAAAUAAUUGGACUCUCCCUGAGCCAAUUCCUGAGGCAAUUCCUGAACCAAUUGAGCCAACUCCUGAGCCUAUUCCUAAACCCACUCCGAAGAAGAGAGGUGUUUUAUUUUUCAGUCCCGAAGAUAUGCAAGAGGCAAAGAAAUCAAUGAAAGAAAAAGGUAUUAAAGCUGAAGAUGUUAAGAAUUUACCACCUAUUGAAGAAAUACAUGGUCUUAAUAUACUGCCUGUUGAAGAACCACAUUGUCUUGAUAACCCGACACAGGUAGUAAAGAUAAAUCAACUACUAUACCUGGCGCUAUUUGUGAGGAUGUGCCUGUUGUGGUUGCAAAUGUCACUAUCUUAA
rnacentral:rRNA from 1 species